rnacentral:rRNA from 1 species
UGCGGUAUUUUGACCGUGCUAAGGUAGCAUAAUCAAUUGUUUUUUAAUUGAAAACUAGUAUGAACGGUUUAAUUUACUUAAUUAGUUUGUAAUUUUUAAUAGUAAGUUAAAUAUAAAGUAAGAAUUCUUUAAUAAAUUAGGGGACGAUAAGACCCUAAAAGCUUUAUGAUUGGCAUUUAAUUAGUGAUAGCGGUGUUAUUAAUUCACUGGGGCAGUGAGUUUAGGUAUAUUUAAGUAUAAUUAAAAGCUCCUUUAAAUAAAGAUUUCAUGUAUAAGUUACUUUAGGGAUAACAGUGCAAUAUAUUUGGGGAGACCAUAUCUAUAAAUAUGAUUGCAACCUCGAUGUUGAAUUAAAAUA